rnacentral:rRNA from 8 species
GUGGAGGAUAGCCCAGAGAAAUUUGGAUUAAUGCCUCAUAGUAUGCAGACUUCUCAUGGAGACUGCAUUAAAGGUUACGGCAGAAGAUGAGUAUGCGUCCUAUUAGUUAGUUGGUAAGGUAACGGCUUACCAAGACUACGAUAGGUAGGGGCCCUGAGAGGGGGAUCCCCCACACUGGUACUGAGACACGGACCAGACUCCUACGGGAGGCAGCAGUGAGGAAUAUUGGACAAUGGAGGCAACUCUGAUCCAGCCAUGCCGCGUGCAGGAAGACUGCCCUAUGGGUUGUAAACUGCUUUUAUACGGGAAGAAAC